rnacentral:tRNA from 1 species
GCUGGGGUCGCCUAGUGGCUAUGGCGUGGGCCUGGAGAGCCCAUGGGCUUUUUGCCCGCGCGGGUUCGAAUCCCGCCCCCAGCG